CAGAGGGUGCGAGCGUUGUCCGGAAUCACUGGGCGUAAAGGGCGCGUAGGUGGCGACCCAAGUCGAUGGUGAAAGCUCGCCGCUCAACGGCGAGUCGGCCACCGAUACUGGGUUGCUCGAGCACUGUAGAGGCUAAUGGAAUUCCGGGUGUAGCGGUGGAAUGCGUAGAGAUCCGGAAGAACACCGGUGGCGAAGGCGGUUAGCAGGGCAGUUGCUGACACUGAGGCGCGACAGCGUGGGGAGCAAACAGGAUUAGAUACCCUGGUAGUCCACGCCGUAAACGAUGGGCACUAGAUGCUUGGGGGAGCGACCCCCUGAGUGUCGCCGCUAACGCAUUAAGUGCCCCGCCUGGGGAGUACGGCCGCAAGGCUG
rnacentral:rRNA from 1 species